rnacentral:rRNA from 1 species
UACGAACUGUGCGAACGUUAUUCGGAAUCACUGGGCUUAAAGGGUGCGUAGGCGGUUAUCUAAGUCACGUGUGAAAUCUUCCGGCUCAACCGGAAAACUGCGCGUGAUACUGGAUAACUUGAGUGAGGUAGGGGUGUGUGGAACUUCCGGUGGAGCGGUGAAAUGUGUAGAGAUCGGAAGGAACGCCAGCAGCGAAAGCGGCACACUGGGCCUUUUCUGACGCUGAGGCACGAAAGCUAGGGGAGUGAACGGG